rnacentral:rRNA from 1 species
UUUGGUAGUAAAAGUCGUAACAAGGUCGUCCGUUGGUGUGACCAGCGGAGGGAUCAUUACCGAGUUUACAACUCCCAAACCCCUGUGAACAUACCAAUUGUUGCCUCGGCGGAUCAGCCCGCUCCCGGUAAAACGGGACGGCCCGCCAGAGGACCCCUAAACUCUGUUUCUAUAUGUAACUUCUGAGUAAAACCAUAAAUAAAUCAAAACUUUCAACAACGGAUCUCUUGGUUCUGGCAUCGAUGAAGAACGCAGCAAAAUGCGAUAAGUAAUGUGAAUUGCAGAAUUCAGUGAAUCAUCGAAUCUUUGAACGCACAUUGCGCCCGCCAGUAUUCUGGCGGGCAUGCCUGUUCGAGCGUCAUUUCAACCCUCAAGCCCCCGGGUUUGGUGUUGGGGAUCGGCGAGCCCUUGCGGCAAGCCGGCCCCGAAAUCUAGUGGCGGUCUCGCUGCAGCUUCCAUUGCGUAGUAGUAAAACCCUCGCAACUGGUACGCGGCGCGGCCAAGCCGUUAAACCCCCAACUUCUGAAUGUUGACCUCGGAUCAGGUAGGACCCCAUUUCCCGCUGAACUUAAGCAUAUCAAUAGGCCGGAGGAA